rnacentral:rRNA from 1 species
UACAGAGGGAGCAAGCGUUGUUCGGAAUUACUGGGCGUAAAGGGCGCGUAGGCGGUUCGAUAAGUCCCGUGUGAAAUCCCUCGGCUCAACUGAGGAAUGGCACGGGAAACUGACGGGGCUUGAGUUCGGGAGAGGGAAGCGGAAUUCCGGGUGUAGCGGUGAAAUGACGUAGAUAUCGGAAGGAACAUCAGUGGCGAAAGCGGCUUCCUGGACCAGCACCGACGUUCAGGCACGAAAGCGUGGGGAGCAAACAGG